rnacentral:lncRNA from 1 species
ACCACUUGAUGCUUGAACAUGAAUGCCAUCGGUGUUUGGGCUGUCACCGGCGGCCGAAACUUUGACCCCCUGUACUUUCACAUCGUUGCAUCCAUUGAUGACAAUAUGAAACAUCUGGCUAUCUACGGAUGCUAAUCCGUUAAUCACAACGUUGUCUGAGUUGCUAAAGCGAAGUGUCUGCUCAUGUAUAUACAAAAGAAGGAACAUUAAUUAUUAUAACUAAAGCAGGAAGCCAAUCAAUAUGAAAAGCAAAAAGCCACUAAAUUUACGACUAUACAGAUAUAUAUAGGAUAUUUCAACUUAAUUACCGUAGCGCCACUGGGGCAAUUACUAUUGUCCGACUUUUUACAAGCCCACAAGCCAGCACCUUGGCCAUCAAGAACGCCACCAUUAAUAGAAACCCCACUAACAUGCUCAAAUAAAAUCCAGUUUUCGGCAUUUCCGAUAACAUGAUAAUCAGCUGGAGCCACCAGAGUCCCGUCAAUACGUAUGGUAAUAUCAUUGUUCUUGCAUUGGCCUUGAAACACAACAUUGCUUAGUAAGUACCUCCCCGGUGGCACGUAAAUGGUUGCGGCCUCGGCCGAGCCACAGGCUUGAGCCCAUGCAGCAAGAAAGGAUUUUACUGAGUCAGUCUGGCCAUCGGGUCUGGCUCCGAAGCUCAGCACAUUGUAACUCAAAGGAAUUGCUAAAGAUGAACUAAAGAAGAGAAUCAAAAGAAAUGGUAAAAAAUUAAUAGACAAAGACAUUGAUGUUGACAUUGUUUCAAAGCUUAAAUUUACUGAUAGAAAUGAGAGAAAUAGAUUUGAGACGUUGAGGAGUUGGGAGGAAGUUGAGAAGGUUUAAAUGGGUAUUUAUAGGAUUUGAAUGGACUGUAGAAAUGGCAAUAGCACUAACAGUGAAUGCAAUCUGCGCCGAAUUUUGGGAGUGAUUUUGGCCUUAACAAAUGCGAUCUUAGUUUACCAAAAUACCCUUUAACUUAAAUUUGGACGACGUUUGAUGACGGACGCGACAAAUACAUACAUAAGACGAGGACACGUCCACAUAUGGUUUUGUAAGAUGAGAGAUUUCAAAGGUAGUUAAUAAAUUAACAGAAAAAGGUGCUUCUCCAUUUUCUGCUUUUCUGGUGGUGUGUAAAAUUAUGCCCGUAUGUUUGCUUUGAGCACAAGGUCGUUGCCUCCUCAAUUCCCGUGGAGCGAUAUGUUUAUUUCUCUGAACUAUUUCUCCUUGUUGCUUGAAAUUACAGCAAAAUAAAGCUAUUUAGAAACUAUUCAACUAAAUUUUUAGGAUAACUUAUAAAUAAUAUUAUAUCAAUUAAUAUUGAGUAGACACAAGAUAAUUUUGUCAAAUGCGACAACUAUUAAAAGGCAUGUAAACUCCAUGCAGAUUGUUCAUUUGUUGGUUAAUUUAUUUUUCCAUUUUUCCCUUUUGGCUUUCAAGUCAAUUAUAAGGAUAAGCAUCAAUAUAUAUUCCCUGAUUUAAGUGUAACUUAUUUUUUUAUUUUAAUAAGAUUGCUCUUGUUAUUUCAAGGUAUUCCAAAAUUUAUUUAAUUAAUUAAAAAGAAUUUCGAAUACGCUAAAUCAGCUGCAAAUGAAAGCGAUCUACCCGAAAAUAAGGUUUGCCUUGUUUUACGACUUCCUUGUUCUAGGAAAUUAUUGUGUUUCAUGUGACAUUAAUUUGUUGACCUUACUUUCUUUUAGAGAAUAAAUUAGGCAAAUAAUAAAUAUUAUUCAAAGUUCAACUCUAGUUUUAUAAAGAAGAUGAAUCCAGAGGCACAAUUCCAUCAAAAUCAACUAUUGAUUUUAAGGGAAACAAUGAAGAAACCCAUGUGAAAAAAGAAAAUUUCAAUAAAAGUUGAUAAAAUGUGUUUGAAUAAUGGUUGUGUAACAAGCUACAUCGCUGUUGGACAUUUUGUUAUACUAAAAUGGAAAAUAUCCUAAUGUUUCAAAGAAAACAAAUUGCAAAGAGUUCAUUAUUCACAGUAUGUUUCUCUACCUAGAUGUAAUUAUUUUUUAAUUACAUAUUUAUACUUUUUUCCCAUUUUUUCAGAUUAUUCAAGUGGGAAGCAGUGUGACCCCAUCGCGGGCAUUUUUGUUAAUGAUAUAAUUUUCUUUUUAUUUCUUAUAACUAGCCGCAAUUUUCCUAGUUUCGGAAUGGAUGUUUGACUUGUUUCAUCACUCGGAUUAAGCAAACAAUCAAGCCGCAUUACUAGGUUAUCAAGAAAGCACAGUUACCAGUCAGGUCCCUCUUCAUGCCAAAUUCAGCACGGCCGAAAGGAUCUCACGUCAAAGACAAAAUUUAGCAGAGGUUAAUUAAUCGAUUACAAGUUCACCACAUGGGGAUUUCUUCUUCAACUACCCAACUGAAUAACGAUUGACUGUUGACCAAGGAAUUAUCUAUACGUUACUAGUUGAUUGAGGAAUUUACUUUCACACAGUACCCUUUCAUGUUUUAGCUAGCCCACCGGUAACUUCUAUUAAUGGUAUCACCACAAAUUUUGUUGUAUAACUAAUUAAACAUGUAUGUGAGCUAGACUGCCAAAUUGUUUAUUUAUUUUUUAAAAACGAUUGUCCGCCCACCCUCCAAAAAAAAGAAGCAAAAUACAAUAAAAGAAGAUUAGAUAAUCGGAGGCGUAGUGAACCCCAAAAGAUGGUUAGCAUAGAACUCACUAAUUAAUAAAGUAAUAAAUGGGAUAAAAAAUGAUCGACUAAUAGGCUAUAUAUCUCUGUGUGUGUGUGUGUAUCUAGUCUAUAAUUUUAAAGUGCGGGAAAGUCUGAAAAAGUUUUAAAACCAUGCAGUUUUAAAACUUUCCCGUACUUUCCACACUUUAAAACCCUGGAUUAGAAUAUAUAUAUAUAUAUAUACACAUACAUACAUACAUUUAUUAAAAAUGUUCUAAUCCGGAAUUUUAAAGUGCAGGAAAGUUCAUAAAAGCUUUAAAACCGCAUGGUUUUAAAGCUUUCCCAAACUUUUCCGUACUUUAAAAUUCUGGACCAGAAAACUACUUUAUAUAUAGAACCUCCAAAUAGGAAUACUCUAUAUAGGAAUAACCUCAUAGUAAUAAAAAAUCGUGAUCCCAAUUUGGGACCAGUUAUAAUAGGAAUAAACUCCACAUUGUAAUAAGUUAAUUUUUUGUAUGUCCCGUCUUAAUAAACUUACUUCCACAUAGUAAUAAUAUUUCAAAAAUAUAUUCCAUGUUACAUUAAAUAAUUAAGAUGGAACAAAAUAUCUUUCUAAAGUUACUUGUGACAAUGAUUUGUUCUUUAAAGUUGCAACCACAUCUUUUAACUUGCAGGAAUGUAUUAAUUGGUCAGCAUAGGCACUUAAUAAUUGGUCAACAAAAUAAUUAAUUUAUUAAUGUCUAUACAUUGAAUUUGAAUCACUUAUUAAUUUAUUAAUACAUGACAUAAUUUACCUUAUAUCACUUGCAUUAGGGAUAAUUAAGCAAAGACAAUAAUUUUGUACCAUACCUCUAUUAAGUUAUAACCUCUUUAUAAGAAUAAAUUUUUCCAGUCCCAAUAAUAUGACUAUAUAGAGGUUUUACUCUAUAUAUAUAUGCCACCUUGUAGUAUCGUAUCCCAUGUUUUAUAUAUAAACUUUUUCUUAAAAUAAUUAGAAAGGGAAUGAGAAAUCUCACUCAUUAAAUUAAAUGCUAAUCAAUAAGCAUCAUCAUUACUUGAACUCGACUAAUCAGAGGUGCAAGCAUUUAAAGUCAGUCAAGCUACCCCAAAAGGGAGCUUUACAUUUUUUGUUUCACAUAAUAAUCAAAGAUGUAACGGUAAUGGUCCUUUCGAAAUAUCUAAUUUAAUUUUGAUAAAUUUAAUUGGUUGAAUUUGUUCAGUGUUGAAAAUUUGUUUAAUUUUUUAAUACACAAAAUAAUAUCCUAUCGAAAAUUUAAUUAAGGUAUAUAUAGGUAAUCUUCAGAGUUCAACAAAUCACAUCUAUUUUUAAAUUAAAAAAGAGAGAGAAAGAGAAAAAAAUAAACUGAAAAAAGGAUAAGAUGUUGAAGGGGGAGAUAGUAGAUGUAUUUUGAAGUAUUGAGAAUGUUGAGAAUAUGUUUCGAAGUGUUUGUGUUGAGAAUACAUUUAGUAGAUGUAUUUUGAAUUAUUGAGAAUGUUCAGAAUAUGUUUUAUGUGUUUGUGUCGAGAAUACAUGGAUGUAGACGCACACACGCAAGGGGAAUUUUAAAAUUUGAAAUCAAAUUAAUGAAUAUGAUUUGAAGUGUUUGUGUUGAGAAUACAUUUUGGAUACAACGCACACACACAAGGGGAGUUUUAAAUUUUGAAAUUUGUUAAUCCAUUUGAUUUCUAACACAUGCAUACAUUCAGGGAAGUUCUUAUAAAAGUUCAAAAUACAUAACGUGUUUUGUCAUUAUCAAAAAGGGGGAGAUUGUUAACCUCUAUGGUUAUAUAGCAUUUUGAUUUUGAUAAUAACAAACCACGAGUCAUGGGUAAAAUAGGAAAUACACAUAUUCUUUAUUUUGUUUUAAAACAAAAAAAAAUGAAUGUUGAGUAUUUUAAGAUGUCCUUAAAAUUGUUUUCUUUGUAUUUUCUAAAGGAAAAAUUUUAUUAUGUGAAUAUUAUUUCAAAUUCUAAGUAUAAAGCGCGUUUUUGCAUAAGUUUUUCAGAUAAAACUUUUAUUAUGUGCUUAAACGUUAAAUCUUUAUAAUCUAAAUGGUAAGCUCACUAAAGUAAAACUAGCUGCUAGACACAAAUGGCAUACCGUUACAAGGAAAGCGGCAAACCGAUUGCAUCAAAUUAGCUCUCUAGAAUCAAACGGUAAACUGGUAGAGCUGAAGCAGCAAACCGAUUGCAUCAAAUUAGCUCUUUGGAAUCAAACAAUAAACCAAUAGAGUUGAAGCAGCAAACUGAUUGCAUCAAAUUAGCUCUCUUGAAUCAAAUGGUAAACCGAUGAAGCUGAAGUGACAAACUGAUUCCAUGAAGAUGACUUACUAGACUCAAAGAACAAACUGUUAUCUGCAAGCGGCCAACCAAUUCCAUCAAGAUGACUUACUAGACUCAGACAACAAACUAUUAUCUGCAACCGGCAAACCAAAUCCAUCAAGAUGACUAUCUGAAAUCAAGUGGCAAACUACUUUCUUGGAGCAGAAAAUCGUGAAGCAAAAAUUUCAAAUUACAACCAUAAGGAUAAGUGCCAUAUAAGCAAACUAUAGACUGUUUUCUUGAAAGGGCAAAUCGAUUAUGCCUAGAAAGUCAACAACAGCUAAUUUUAUCUAUCGUUCAAUCUAUAAAUAGCCAAGAGAAACACUUUUGAAAUAGGAAUUUUUUGGCCAUUUUUUAAAGAGUAUUGAGCUUUUACUUGCUUAUCCACAUUCAUUGAAUUUAUAAUUGAGCUAUCAUUUGUAACAUACACUUGCGAGAGUGCAUUCUUUGUAAUUUCCAUUUCACUAUCAAAAUUGAGUGAUUGUAAGUGUGGGGAAACACUUGGUCAAGGAGGUGUGGGAUCAUCUCAAGUUGUAAAUGUUUAUUGACACCCUAAAAGUCAAUUGCAAACUUCCUGAAGCCUUGGAUUGUAAUGCUUGAAUAGUGGAACAAUCAAGUUCGGUUUGCUUGGAGGCAUGGUUAUAAGCGGGUUUUGCCGAACCACGUAAAAAUUUCGUGUUUGCUUUCUUCUCCCAUAUCUCUUUAAACUUAUUCAUUGUUAUAUUUACUGUUAUUGAAUCUCUCAAGGCAUUAGUUUAAAUUAUUUUUUAAUUUUUAAAAACCCAAUUCACCCCUCUCUUGGGUUACUUAGCUAGAAUUUCAGCAUAGCUUGUCAUGCGUUCACAUACCGUACAAUGAGUUACGAGGUCCAAUUCCUACCAACACAAGAUUCUGAAAUACAAGUGUGCAACCCAAGAGGGGGGGUGAAUUGGAAUUUUAAAAUUUAUCCUAACAAAUCCACACAACAAGCAAUCUAAUGUCUUAAUAAAAAUUGAAAGCAAUAAGUUCAAUAAAGGCACAAUAAUUAAAAGAGUAAGGGAAGAGAAAAACGAACACAAUGAUUUUUACGUGGUUCGGCUAUCCCCGCCUACGUCCACGCCUCCAAGCACACCGGGCUUGAGGAUUUCACUAUCCAAGCCUUUCCAAGGCUUCAACGAUUACAAUUGACUUCGAGGUGUCAAUAAACCUUUACAACAAAGAGAUUAUCUCCCAAUCUCUUCACUCAAGUGUCUCACACACUCAAACUCUUACAAAUGAAAUGAAGAAAUGAAAGUUACAAUCAAACUCACUCAAUGAGUAGAUAUUCAAAGAUGAAGAACAAUGAAUGAUUCAAUGUUUUGUCUUUUGCAAGUUGUAAGCUCAAGAUAUCAUGUGUGCCUUUUGUUUUUGCUUGUUGGAGAGCUUCAAAAUGAGUUGGAUUUGAGUUUUUAUAGCUUGAGCUCAAAAACUAGCCGUUACUCACAUUCCAGGCGUAUCCGGUUUGCCGUUUAUGGAAUCUGGUAAGCCGGAUUUAUGUUACCGUUAAGGCAAAAUUCAAAAUUUUGCCUAACCGGUUUGCCGGAUUCGUUCUGGUGCUUACUGCCCCGAAUUCGGCCUGCCGUUUAUCAGUAUCCGGAAAGCCGCUUGCUACAGUAACUGCUACAGUAAAACAUUUCCCGAAAUUUACAGUUUGACCCCAAAACUUUAUAAAACUGUAGUAUAACCCAAAAAGUUAUAAAAGUUUGCACAUAGGUCCAAUUUCAGAAUUUUAAAUAAUGCUUUCUCAAUCCCACAACUUUCUGAAAUUAUGACUUCGCCCAAACUUUAUGAAAUUAUAUAAUGGCCCAAAAACAUUUAAAUAGUUUCAAAUAGGUCCAAAUCCGAAAUUUCAAGCACUACUUGUUUAUUUCAAAGUUUUCAAAAUUCUUUCAAUUAAACCAUAAACUUUGAAAAACAACCAAUUUCAUAAAAUCAUUUUUUUCAUUAAAUAUGAAACAUUUAUAAAGUGAAAAUAAUGAUUUAUUCAAAAGGAAUAAAAACAAUCAAUUGCAUAAAAUCAUUUUUCCAUUAAAAUAUAAAACAUUUAUAAUGUGAAAAAAAAUGAUUUAUUUAAAAUAUAUUUUUCAAUAAUUUGAGCUUAAAAGAUUAAUUAUUCUUAAUCUUGUUUGUUAUCAUCAAAAUCAACAUUAUGGAAACAUAUAUGUUAACAGAUUCCAGUAUGAUCAUGGAGGCAUUAUGAGGGAACAAGGAUUGUGAGGUGACGCUUACAGUUUUCAACCUUGCAAAGCCUUUGUAACUCACAAACAUGUCUUCAACAAGAAAUGGCUUUUAAUAAUGUUCCCUAUGUUAGGAAUACUCGCUCUUUUAUUCUUUGUGAUUGGAAUGAUUUUUAGAAGAAUGAAGAGGGCUUCUAGAGAAAACAAAGAAUGUUCUGUGGGCGAUCAAGGAGUGCUUUCGAUAUUAAUUUUUAAAACGUAAGUGGCGUAUUAAAAAAUCAUCAGUGCAGCGAAUAAAUUUGAUGCUGAGCAAUGCAUUUGGCAACCUAUCAUCUGGGAGAUCGUAGCGAUUGGCAAAUUUCAUCACCACUUCCAAGUGAAAUUUUAGUCCUACAAGAAUUCCCGAAUGAAAGCAAGGCACUGCCAGAAUUAUGGUAUCAAAAUAUUGUGAAAUUUUAUAGCUUCUGUUAACAUCCUGGUACUCUUUUUCAGUCUAUGAAUAUCUUGAAAAGGGUAGUUUGGCUACAAUUCCAAGCAAUGAUGCAACAAUAGAAGAAUUCAUGAGCUGGACUCUGGGAAUGUAUAUGAUAUAACUGUAGCUAAGGCCAUGAGUUAUAUGCAUCAUGAUUGCUUCCCACCAAUUGACAAUCGAGACUUAUCAAGCAAGAAUGUGUUGCUGGGUUUAGAUUAUGAAGCUCAUGUUUCAGAUUCCGGAAUCGCAAAAUUUCUCAAGCCAGACUUGUCCUAUUGGACUGAUUUUGCAGGCGCAUUUGGAUAUGUUGCUCCACAUAUGCAUUCUUAAAUUAACCCAUUGAUCACUUUUUACAUUAAUUCAAAGUUCAGCUCUAGUUACAUAUGGAAAAUCUGCUGUACGGCCAAGGCGGAUGUACGGUACAGCAGAAGCAAUGAUGCAACAAUAGAAGAAUUCAUGAGCUGGACUCUGAGAAUGUAUAUGAUAUAAAGUGUAGCUAAGGCCAUGAGUUAUAUGCAUCAUGAUUGCUUCCCACCAAUUGACAAUCGAGACUUAUCAAGCAAGAAUGUGUUGCUGGGUUUAGAUUAUGAAGCUCAUGUUUCAGAUUCCGGAAUCGCAAAAUUUCUCAAGCCAGACUUGUCCUAUUGGACUGAUUUUGCAGGCGCAUUUGGAUAUGUUGCUCCACAUAUGCAUUCUUAAAUUAACCCAUUGAUCACUUUUUACAUUAAUAAACGUCAUAUCUAACUGAUCAUUUUCAUCUUUCAGUUUUUGUAGAGCUUGUUUACACGAUGAAGAUAAUCGAAAAAUGCAACGGGUAUAGCUUUCCGAGAAUUAGCAUUAGAAGUGAUAAAGGGGAAUUAUCCAAGAGAUUUUAUGUCCUUCCAUCGGGGACAUAUCACUGAAUGAAAUUUCGGACACUCGGCUUUCAACAUCAUCAUGAAAUGUUCAGGACACGCUGAUAUUAAUCAUGGAGGUUGUCUUAUUCGAUGUGGGCCCAGAAUCAAGACCCGCGAUGUACACAAUAUGUCAUUUAAAAAAAAAAAAAGAACUCCAGAAAGUCAAAUGUUUCUUUUUUCUUCUGUAUUUUUUUUUCAUUUUUCGUUUUUGUUGGAUUAAAUAUGACUUUUGAAACUUUUGAUGGUUGUAAAAGAUUUUACACUUUAAUUAAGUACGUGAAUUACACAUUUCAAGCAUUAUUUGACUUUACCCCCAAUCUCUGCCGUAAUGUCAUUUGGCUUUUCUGUCCCUUACUUUGGAUAUGCAUAUUCUGUCAAAGGACAAAAAACUGAAAUAGGAAAAUAGAAGUUGUCAUAAAGUAAAUUAAUAUAUUCGAUAACAUUAUGAACAUCUACGCGCGAAAGCGAUGGCGAUACUUUCAACACAUUGCAGGAAGUGCCUCUAAGUAAGCCCAAUGGGCGUAGUUUUACAGAUAACCGAAAAACCUUAGUUCAAAGUAUAAUGAUCGGCUUCCUAUGAUUUUUUUCUGUUUUUAAUGGCUACCUAUCACAAAUUUAGUAACUUCAGCAAAAUUCUACUGCUUAUAUCUUUUUACUUUAAUAUUAUAAUCACGAUCGGCUUCUUAUGCCUUCUUUUUUUUCAACUCAAAAUAUUUUUCACUACUUCAAGUCUUCAAGCAACUAUUUGGAAGAACAAAUCCAGAGGCCGAUCCAUCAGCGUUGGUACAGGAAGCUUCAGCUGGUUGAUUAUUGUAACUGAGCUUCACAUCCUCCAAGCUAAUUCCAGUGCAUGGAUUCUUCGAACUGCAAUCGAGCUUUACUCCAACUUCUGUUGCCGAUGUUCCAUGAAUAUCUUGAUAUAUCACAUCACUGAUUUUAACCCCCGAAGCCUAUUGAACAAGAAAAAAAAAACAUUUAUUGAGUUGAAUAUUAAUCGCAUCAAUAUUUACGUAAUCACAUCUACAGACAUGUGAUAAGUGAGUAUCGUACCUGUCCAGGACAAUUCUCGUUGUCAGGGCAGUAAUUUUGAUCAAUUAUGAUUGGAUUAUCGACAUUGUUCAUAAGAGCAUGUUGGAAAAGAAUGUUCCUGGCAAAUCCAGUACGGCCAAGGCGGAUGUACGGUACAGCAGUGCACUCCAGCCUCUUGUUGCUCUUUGCCUAAGCUGCCAAUGCUGCAACACAAUCACAAUAUUCAAUUUAAUUAGCACUAAAUAUUUUUACGUACCACCAAAAAUAAAGAGAAAAACAAAUUAUCAUGUUUUUUAAUUUUACCUGAUCCCAUGGCCUGGGCCACAAGCAACAUUUUCAAUCCAUAAGUUGGUGGCGCCAGGCCCAACUGAUACACAGUCAUCACCAGUCCCAAUUUUGCUGUCCAAAAUUGUGACACCACUUGAUGAUUGAACGUGAAUGCCAUCGGUGUUUGGGCUGUCACCGGCGGCCGAAACUUUGACCCCCUGUACUUUCACAUCGUUGCAUCCAUUGAUGACAAUAUGAAACAUCUGGCUAUCUACGGAUGCUAAUCCGUUAAUCACAACGUUGUCUGAGUUGCUAAAGCGAAGUGUCUGCUCAUGUAUAUACAAAAGAAGGAACAUUAAUUAUUAUAACUAAAGCAGGAAGCCAAUCAAUAUGAAAAGCAAAAAGCCACUAAAUUUACGACUAUACAGAUAUAUAUAGGAUAUUUCAACUUAAUUACCG